CCUACGGGAGGCAGCAGUGGGGAAUAUUGGACAAUGGGCGAAAGCCUGAUCCAGCCAUGCCGCGUGUGUGAAGAAGGCCUUCGGGUUGUAAAGCACUUUCAGUGGGGAAGAAAGCCUUGGGGCUAAUACCCUCGAGGAAGGACAUCACCCACAGAAGAAGCACCGGCUAACUCCGUGCCAGCAGCCGCGGUAAUACGGAGGGUGCGAGCGUUAAUCGGAAUUACUGGGCGUAAAGCGCGCGUAGGCGGUCUGAUAAGCCGGUUGUGAAAGCCCCGGGCUCAACCUGGGAACGGCAUCCGGAACUGUCAGGCUAGAGUGCAGGAGAGGAAGGUAGAAUUCCCGGUGUAGCGGUGAAAUGCGUAGAGAUCGGGAGGAAUACCAGUGGCGAAGGCGGCCUUCUGGACUGACACUGACGCUGAGGUGCGAAAGCGUGGGUAGCAAACAGGAUUAGAUACCAGAGUAGUC
rnacentral:rRNA from 1 species